UCCGGGGAAGGAAAAUAAAGUGAUUCUGUUUUCUCUCUUUCCUUCUUUGACGGGAAAUUUGAUUCUUUGAAGAGAUUAAGGGGAAAAAAUAGAAAAGGACUCACCUCUUUAUCCCUUUGGUCCUCGGCCUCCAUACCAUCCAGUUGCAAAAUUUCAUGGCCAAUCCCUAAUAUCAGGUCUCGUUUCUUGUCUAAUUGUUCGUUAACUCGGUGCAGAGCCUUGUCACUUCCCCGAAGUCUCUUGGUUGGCAUUUUCGAGUUACUCAGACAGCUGGGAAACAGGAGUUUUAAUGGCCUGCGUUGGUGACACAAAAGAACCUGAAUGGAUAGAUAGAAUAAGAUCUGAAGGAGCCAUUCCGCUUCUUGAACCAGAUAACUGUAGCAAUGGUUGGGCUUCCCCACCUGGAGAUUCAUUCAUGGUUAGGGGUCCUGAGUACUUUACAACCAGGGUCAAGAUUCCUGCUGGUGAAUAUUUGCUCAAGCCUCUUGGAUUUGAUUGGAUUAAAAGCUCAGUGAAGAUUGGGGAGAUCAUGGGCCAUCCAAAUUGCCGAGUUAGGAAGGUCAUUGAUGAUGAGUUUUCAGCUGGCGAUAAGCCUUUUGUGUGGGCAUUCAAUCUUCAACUCCCAACCAAGGACAACUAUAGUGCCAUAGCAUACUUUACAACUAAAGAGCCUAUCCCAGAGGGGUCAUUAAUGGACAAGUUCUUGAAAGGUGAUGACGCAUUCAAAAAUUCAAGGCUUAAGCUGAUUGCUAACAUUGUUAAAGGUCCGUGGAUUGUUAAAAAAGCUGUUGGAGAACAAGCCAUUUGCAUAAUUGGGCGUGCCCUAACCUGUAAAUACUGUACGGGAGAAAAUUUCUUAGAAGUAGAUAUUGAUAUUGGUUCCUCCAUGGUUGCAAGUGCAAUAGUUCAUUUGGCAUUUGGUUAUGUUUCAACUCUGACUGUUGAUUUGGCUUUUCUUAUUGAGAGCCAAGCAGAAUAUGAACUUCCAGAAAAACUCUUAGGUGCUGUCAGAUUUUCUGACCUGGAUCCUGCUUCUGCUAGGACACUAGAGCCCUCAUCUUUGAUGAGUGCAAAUAAUUUACAAUCAUCUUUGCCAACGAGAUUGUGGAAGUCAAUCGGGCAGGGGUUUACUCAUAUUCUUAAUUCGGGUUCUCAAGAAGGUGCCUCUCCUACCCCUGGCUCAUAACAUGCUAAACUGUAGAACACCACGAGGACAAUUAGGGUGGCCUCAAGUAAUGAUUUGCUGGAUGUAGAAGAAUGAAGUUUCAUUUGAGUUGGUUCUUCUUGAAAUUUUCUUACGGUGGCCUUUAGAUUAUUCGUCCGGUGACUUCGUUCCUACCUAUCCUGGAGCUUUCUAUGGCCGCAGAGUUUGAAUUCCGAGCUGGAUAUCAUGCAUAUAUCAUUUAUAGCACUUUUGACAUUUGCAUUUGACCAUUGAAACCGUGACUUUGUUCCUUGUAUUUUAUAUGGCCACAGAAAUUCAGAGUGCCUCAUUCUUUUUCUGUAUAUUAUGUAAACUUUCUUUUAGUAAUUCGUUCCAACAAUCAAUAUAGUAGAUAUAAGUAGAAUGAAUAUAUAUUGUUAAUUUACUUAUUUUUUUAGAAGAUGGAAACAGAGUUGAUUCGUUGUAAUUUAAAAAAUUGUUUUUCC